rnacentral:rRNA from 2 species
GGUUAAGCGACUAAGCGUACACGGUGGAUGCCCUGGCAGUCAGAGGCGAUGAAGGACGUGCUAAUCUGCGAUAAGCGCCGGUAAGGUGAUAUGAACCGUUAUAACCGGCGAUUUCCGAAUGGGGAAACCCAGUGUGAUUCGUCACACUAUCAUUAACUGAAUCCAUAGGUUAAUGAGGCGAACCGGGGGAACUGAAACAUCUAAGUACCCCGAGGAAAAGAAAUCAACCGAGAUUCCCCCAGUAGCGGCGAGCGAACGGGGAGGAGCCCAGAGCCUGAAUCAGCAUGUGUGUUAGUGGAAGCGUCUGGAAAGGUGCGCGAUACAGGGUGACAGCCCCGUACACAAAAGCGCAUGUGCUGUGAGCUCGAUGAGUAGGGCGGGACACGUGGUAUCCUGUCUGAAUAUGGGGGGACCAUCCUCCAAGGCUAAAUACUCCUGACUGACCGAUAGUGAACCAGUACCGUGAGGGAAAGGCGAAAAGAACCCCGGCGAGGGGAGUGAAAAAGAACCUGAAACCGUGUACGUACAAGCAGUGGGAGCACAGGUUUACCUGUGUGACUGCGUACCUUUUGUAUAAUGGGUCAGCGACUUAUAUUCUGUAGCAAGGUUAACCGUAUAGGGGAGCCGUAGGGAAACCGAGUCUUAACCGGGCGUUAAGUUGCAGGGUAUAGACCCGAAACCCGGUGAUCUAGCCAUGGGCAGGUUGAAGGUUGGGUAACACUAACUGGAGGACCGAACCGACUAAUGUUGAAAAAUUAG